AUUAUAGGCCUGAGCCACCAUGGUUGGCCUGUAUUUUUCUUUUAAAAAAGAGUAUCAAACUAUGCAUAUGAUACAAUAGUAUAACUAGAAUUUUAACAUUUAAUACCUAUCUUGAAUAUCUUUCCAUAUCUGUGAGAUGUAUAUAUAUAUAUACUAAUUAUUCAUGUGAUUCCCAUAACAUUUUAAAAUACAUUUGUGUGUGUCUGUGUUAUUUUAACAGCUGAUUUGUAUUCCAUUGCAUUGGAAUUAUAAUUUUUAGUGUUCAAUUUAUGAAGAUUUAAGAUAGUUUAAGGGGCAUUUUUUGCAAGAUUACUUUUAAUAAAAACAAUUGACAUUAAUUAAAUUGUCCCUCCUGUUAGUGAAUAAUGGACAUCAACUGACCAGAAGAAAGACUUAACAUUCACCAAUACUCAACCUAUGCCACCCUCUGACCCAACAAUAAUUCACAUGCUGCUUCUCUAGCAGUGUUAGGUAAUCAUCUAAGAGAUGGUGGCUGUAGCCUCUGCUUUGUUUACCCAAGACUCAGACAAGUCAGAAUAUAACUGAAGAACGAAUAGGUGUACCCAUCAGGAAAAUUAUUUGCAUAAAAGACCAAGGUACUAUCUGGGGAGAUGAAAAAUAAGGAAAACAACAAAAAAUAACAAAAAUCACAUUUCACUCACAGGAAUGAGAGAGUGAAGACUACAGAUUUGAUCUGGCUAAUCACUCAGGAUCACAGGAAAGGUCUGUUCAGAUUCACAACAGUCCCUGAGUCGAAGGUCCUGGUGCUAUGAGCAAGAAAUGAUGGGGCUCACUCAUGCCAUUUCUCUAAGACUUUGGGAACACUGCUUUUAAGACGCAUAGCAACAGACCCCAGGUGGACUAAAGAAUAGAGCGUGGGGAGAGGAAUUCUUUACACUGCAGCCUCAAGAGUCAUGGUCACAGAAAGCCAAAACAGUCUUUACAGAGGAGCAAAAGGCAGAGAGGAGAUUCCCCAUAGUCGGAGAAAACUGGACUAAAGAAGAAUCACUCUACGUAAGCGAAUCUGUGGUCUUCUCUCUCACUCAGAGACCUCAGGGGAGCAUGAGAAAUGAGUCAGUCUCUCUGAGGACCCACCAAGCUGCCAGAGCUAAACAAGAGUCUUGUUUGAACUCUGAAGGGGAGAAGGGACAGAAGGCAUGGAUGAGAACACAGCUGCAGUUGACUUCCGUGAAACCAUCUGGAGAGCAUGGCCCAAGAAAGAGAAAAGGGCACGGGGACCAAAUUAAGAAUGUUCUUAGUUAAUUUUCUAAAGAAUGAGUCCACUGAAAAACCACCCACUCCUGGGUUCCUGAUAAUGCAAACUUCAUUCAUUUGUUUAUUCAUUCAACAAAUGGAGUAGCUCCGACCAAUAUUAUGGAUUGGCUUGGAAAAUACCUCUGGCUUCUUGGCAGAGAAUCAAGCAAGAAACUUACAUGUGAUUUUGGUCUAUUCUAAAUAACUUCUCUAGGUUACAUACUUACACGCUGAUGGUUCACACAUAAGGAGGACAAAAGGAAUGCUACCAAAACAAAAAUCACCCCUCAAAAUUAUUUAAAAGGCAGAAGAUUUUAAAUUGAAGAAAUAUCUUUAGCAUCAAGUCAGGGUAUGAAUGUACCAGAAAGGCUUUGUUUUAGCAAAUUUACUUCCCAAAGGGCAGAAUAAUAUAUAUGAAAUGAAAAAUGCACAGGCCUUUUGUUCUUUAAUGACCUUGGGGGAAUAUUCUAAUUUAUCAGGAAUCUGCCAAGAAAACAGUUUACCUCUUCAGUUGUCUCAUUUUGUGUUUCUGAAUUUUUUUUUUUUUUUUUUUUUUAGCCAGGGUCUCAAUCUGUUGUCCAGGAUGGAGUGCAGUGGUGCAAUCAUGGCUCACUGUAGCCUCGACCUCCUGGGAUCAAGUGAUCCUCCCACUAUCAGCCUCCUGAGUUGCUGGGACUACAGCUAUGUGCCACCAUACCCAGCAAAUUUUUGUAUUUUUUGUAGAGACGAGGUCUCACCAUGUUGCCCAGGCUGGUCUUGAACUCCUGAGCUCAAGUAAUUUGCCCAUUUCAGCCUCUCAAAGUCUGGGAUUAUAGGUGUGAGCCACUGUGCCCUGCCCAUGUUUCUGAAUUUUUAAUACAUUUUAUUAAUUCUUGCUGAUCUGUGAAACACUAAGAAAAGUAAAUUGUUUUAUAAUUUUGUCUCUUAAUAUCCUCCAAAAAAUUAAUUCUAUUGCUUUUUCUUUGCAUACUUCUUGGAUACUAUUUUCCUCCCUUUGUGUCAGUGACUUAUCACAGGAAGAAAAAAAAAAUGUUCCCCAUCCAUUCCUUACUUGGUAUCUAUAGGGCUGUAAGCGAAGACAUUGGCUUUAUCUACAAACUGCUGCAGUCAGAUUGUUAUGGAAAUAGGAAUUAAUUAUUGUAGAAGCAGUAUAAUGAUCUUCUUUGGAAUCAGAGAAUUAAAACCAGGAUUCAAAGCAAUACCCGUAAGGGAAAGUGGUUGGGGUUUAUAUCGGAAUCAUGGGGGUAUAUUAUAUUAAGGUUAAAGAGGGAGGAUGAGAUGGAAAGACAGAAAAUCUCGCCACAGCAUGUGGAAGUUUCUCCUUAGGAGAGCCUUGUGGCUCAUUGUGCCUGUCAAGUAGGCUAAUGUGCCUGUAAAUUUCCUCUGACAGAAAACACAUCACAGCAGCAGCACCAGAAAACAACACAACCAAACUGUGGAAGACUGAAAACCCAGUGCUUUCAAGGGUGAUCAGAAUAUGCCAGAGUAAAAAACAAAAACAAAAACCAAAAAAAAAGCAAGGCAUUGAAAAUAAACAAAAGCUAGGGAGAAAUGAGAUCACCUUCCAAGAAAUAAGCAUUUAUCAUUCAUUCAUAGGCGAAAGGAAAUGCUUCUCCCACAGUCAUUUUUUAAUGUAUUAUUGGGCAGUCUCAGUUCAAGGUCAAAAAUGUCAGAGGGCAAAAGGAAUAGGACUCAAGAUUUAAUGCUGUAUUUAUCAUAACUGGCUUUGUAAUUGCAUAAAUAUUAAAUAUGUAGAACUAAUUGCAAGCACAUUAUCUCCAUAUCUCCACACAUUGCUUUAAUUUUUAAUGUAAUCUUUUAUCUGCCUUUUCCUCAGCUGGCUGUGGGUUUGUAAUUUGCAUAGCUAGAAUGAUCCGGUGCCAUCAAUUUAGUAAUGAAGUCACUCAUUGAGCAGAAGAGUUUUCUAAAGAUUAUACAAAGCUGUAGGAAAGAAAAGAACAGAAAUGAAAUUUUAUGUUUCAAAUAAAUGGGAAGUUUAUUUUAGAACAUAUUUUCCAUUGUAAAUUUAAUGCAACCACUUCAUAACAAAUUUGGAAAACAGAGAAGAUUGGGAAAAAGCACCCAUAUUUCAUCAUCCUAACUUAUCAGUGUUUUGUGGUCUUUUAUACCUAGGCACAUAUAUUUUUAACAUCGAUGUAAUCAUAAUUAUGUGUGUGUAUAUGUGUGUAAUUUUACAUCCUAUUUUUUGUAUUAUUACUAUGGUUUUCAUAACUAUAACUUUUAUGACUAUAAAAUACUAAUAAAAAGAGGUGUCUAUAAUUUUCUCACUUACUAAAUUUCUUGUGGCUAGCCGAGCAGAGGGGUGGAAUCAGAUGGAUUAAAUUUCAGCUCUGCUAUUGAACUGUGUGGAUUUGGGCAAGUUAGUAAAAAGCUGGGCGUUAGUCUUCUCAUCUACAAAAUGAGGAUAGUGAUA
rnacentral:lncRNA from 1 species